AUGCAAACAAGGCAAGCUUCUUGGUUCAAUCAAAGUCUCUGAACACAAUGUACAUGUAAGUAGAUCUUUGAUUUCGUCAACAGAAACACUGUCUGAUGAAGCACUUGCCAUUUCAAUGAAAUCUUUCUUACUUUACAAUUUAGAUAACAUAUUUAUGUCUUCUUUCUAGCGAAGUGUCGCAUAAUACCUUGUUUGAAAAUUUAUAUUCGCGGAAAUCUUAAUGCAUUCUUGGAAUCCGGAAACAUAACACUCUCACCCGCGAUCAGGCUGGAGGCAUUUGACCUCAAUACAUUGAUGGAGUUACUUCCUCCUCUGCUUCCUCUAGUACUAUAGUCAAUACUUGGGUUUU